rnacentral:rRNA from 1 species
UACGAAGGGGGCUAGCGUUGUUCGGAUUUACUGGGCGUAAAGCGCACGUAGGCGGCUUUGUAAGUUAGAGGUGAAAGCCCAGGGCUUAACCCUGGAAUUGCCUUUAAGACUGCAUCGCUAGAAUCGUGGAGAGGUGAGUGGAAUUCCGAGUGUAGAGGUGAAAUGCGUAGAUAUCGAGAGGAACACCAGUGGCGAAGGCGAGUCCCUGGACAACACCUGACACUGAGGCACGAAAGCUAGGGGAGCAAACAGG